GGGUGAUGAGAACUCAGAAAAAACUUAUCAGUGGAUUCAAGAUGUGGAAAAGAUCUUCGAGAUGAAGGAUUGUCAGGCGGAGUUGAAGCGAAUCAUGACGGCAUGGAAUUUAUGAAGUGGUUCCAAGGACAGAAAACCUAUGUGUUGGUGUUAACUCAAAGAUGAUGAGUAUGGAUGGAUUAACAUUAGACUAAUAAGGGAUUUCAAGUAAAG
rnacentral:lncRNA from 1 species